CCUCUUCCCUCUAUAGCAAUCUUUCUCUCUUAUCUCAUGAUUAAGAGAACUAAAAGAGAACCAUUCACCACCUCCAUUAAUAACCACAAACAACCCUCUUAAAUCAACCUUGGUAGCUUGAAAACGAAACGAUUUAAGGGCUGUAGAAAGUUGAUGGGUUCAAGGUUGCGAGAGCUGUUCAAGUAGGCUAAUGCGGGUGGCUACAUAUAUAAAGAUCGAAAGUGGCCUUGUUGUGGUUCUUAGUUACGUUUUGUUGGGUUGUCUUACUGCUGAUCUUCAAGCAAUGGAGAGGUUAACUUCUAGCUCAUUUGGAGACCAUUCUCAGAUCUCACGAGUGUGUUUCGAGUUCCUUUUCUUGGGUCAUUAAGCUACGGUGUUUCAAAACUCUCAUAGCUCAAAAAUACUAGCUAAAAGAUACAUGGUUGCUUUGGCUUUCUAGAAAUUCCUUCCAUUCAUGGUUUGGAGUUUUGAAAAUACAAGUGUUUUACAAACCAGGAGCUUGGUUGCUUUCUUGGGUCACUAUAUAUAUAAUGCAACUAAAGCUUAAGGGUUAAAACUAUGGGGUUAAUCUUAUUGUGACACCAUUAGUUUGGACUACCUUUUCUUACUCGACACUCUCUCGUAUCAAUUACCAAAGCGAGUCUCGUAGCCCCUAUUUAAAAAUAUUUUAUAUUUUGGGGUAAGAAUACACUGCUCAAUUUUAUGGACACGAGUAUUGUUAAUAGUUUGUGUAUAGCUAUGUAUACGAUCACUCAUGAAAUCCCCUUGUUAACUUGAGUCGUGAAACAAACGCGCAAAUAUUAUGGAUAGUACUAUCGAGGUUGACACCCCUGUCCGGGCUAGUCAUGCUAGCUGGGUUAAAUGGGCAUAUAAUAUUUGAAACUACAGUGUUGGAGUGAAACACUACUGAAGGGGUAGCAAUGGUUAAGGCAUCGAUACUCAAGGCAUAACAUACGAAACUAUUGGUCUUUUUAUAUAUGUUAUGGAAACUAAGGUAGAUCGAUGGAGAUACUCUAAGAGUCACAUAUGCAUUCACUAAAGAACGGAUAUUUUGAAGCGCAUUUUCAUUAAAAUAAUCAUGUUGUAAAAUCUCUAGAAUAAAUUUUGUACACUUCAUGUAAGAUCCUGGUUUUUAUAUCAAUAAUAUUUUAAAAUGUCUCAUUUA